rnacentral:rRNA from 1 species
GACGUAGGGCGCGAGCGUUGUCCGGAUUUAUUGGGCGUAAAGAGCUCGUAGGCGGCUGGUUGCGUCGACUGUGAAAACCCGCGGCUCAAACGUGUGGUCUGCAGUCGAUACGGGUCAGCUGGAGUUCGGUAGGGGAGACUGGAAUUCCUGGUGUAGCGGUGAAAUGCGCAGAUAUCAGGAGGAACACCGGUGGCGAAGGCGGGUCUCUGGGCCGAUACUGACGCUGAGGAGCGAAAGCGUGGGGAGCGAACAGG